rnacentral:tRNA from 2 species
GGUUUUAUAGUUUAUUUAAAAAAUUUUAAAUUGCAAAUUUAAAGAAAAGAAAUUUUAAGACUU